UAUGAAGACUUGUGUGGCAUA
rnacentral:miRNA from 1 species